AGCGAACGUUGGCGGCGUGCCUAACACAUGCAAGUCGAGCGCGGGCAUUUCGGGGGUAACCCCGGGAUGUGCUGAGCGGCGGACGAGUGAGUAAUACGUGGACAACCUGCCUUAAAGCUUGGGAUAACUCCGGGAAACUGGAGGCUAAUACCGGAUAAGACCACGGUGUCUAUGGAUGCUGAGGUAAAAGGCGGCCAGGAAACUGGCUGUUGCUUAAAGAUGGGUCCACGUCCCAUCAGGUAGUUGGU
rnacentral:rRNA from 1 species